UACGUAGGGUCCAAGCGUUGUCCGGAGUUACUGGCGUAAAGCGCGGGCAGGCGGCUCGCAACGUCUGAUGUGAAAUCUCCUCGCUCAACGGGGAGAGGCCAUUGGAAACGGUCGAGCUGGAGGGCAGUAGAGGUAGGCGGAAUUCCGGGUGGAGUGGUGAAAUGCGUAGAGAUCCGGAGGAACACCAGAGGCGAAGGCGGCCUGACUGGGCUGCACC
rnacentral:rRNA from 1 species